CUCCUUCCUCUUUGCCAUUUUUGGUACCACAGGAAAAGGUCUAGAAAAGACUUCUAACAGCUCACACUCCUUAAGGGACUCAGAAGAAGAAAUGGGAGUCUCGCCAUCUUGCCCAGGCUCAUUUCAAACUCCUGAGCACAAGCGAUCCUUCAUCUUGGCGUCCUGAACUGCUGGGAUUAAAGGCACAGUGGCUCAUAUCUGUACGACCAGCUACUUGGAAGAUUGAGGAGGGAGUAUCCCUUGAGUCCAGGAGUUCCGAUCAGAUUGAGCAAUAUAAAGAGACCCCGUCACAAAACAAAAUAAACAAGAAAAAAUUUAAUUUGUAUUUAUGGGAUGGAAAAAUUCUAUAAAGAGAAAAUUCCACCUCCUCUACUGUUAGUGGUGAAGCUCACAUAAGAAAGAGCCAGCUGAGAGUCUGUCAAGGGGAGACCCAAAACCAGAGAAACUCCUUUUCUUCUUUGUCUCAAUCACAUCAUUUUCUAGGGACACCAAUUCAUCAAGAAGCAAGAGUUUUGCUGUCAGUUCCUCCUGCAUUCAUUCUUCCUGCUGCCUUGUGAAGAAGGUGCCUUGCUUCCCCUUUGCCUUCCACCAUGAUUGUAAGUUUAACGAGGACUCCCCAGCCAUGCAGAACUGUUCACAACCUUGAAUGGCAUGUUGGCAAUAAAAAGAAGACAAUAAAAAACUACCGAUUUUCUUGAU
rnacentral:lncRNA from 10 species